UUUUAUUCUCAUUAGCAUUAUUGUAGUUAUUAAAAUGUUAAUCCUUGAGGGAUAUACAUAUUUCUUAAAGUGGAGUGAGUAUGGGGUAGUUGAAAGAGGGUGUUAGAAGUCAGACAGGCCUCGGCUUAGAUCUUGGAUCACCUAAUUCAGAUCUAAACCUAAGUUUGUUCAACUGUACAAAAGAGGCUAAUACCCACCUUGUGAAAUUUUUGUAAAGUUUAAAUGAAGAAUAUAAAGAAAAUGCGUAGCACAAUAACUGACCCAUGAGAGAUGCUCAGCUUAGGUGACUUUGCAUGAAGAAUUGCCACUGUCUACAAGAGCAUUAGCAUUUUUAUAGGGAUCAGAAUUAUAAACUCCAGGAAGAUCAUAGGGGAAAGAUAUGAUCCUGGUGGUAGAGCAGCCAUUACAACAUUUUUCCCUCGCCGCUCAAGCUUAAACUUCUGACUUGUUCUCAUCUUUUAGAUCUCAGUUUGGCUGUCACUUCCUCCAGGAAGUCUUCAGUGCUAGGCUUCCAUGGAGCUCUGUCCUCCUCCUGUCGUAGGAAGACACAGUAUCAUGGGUGAUAUGUUCACUUGUCUAAAACGCCUGCUUGAUAAUAAGGUCCUUGAGACAAGAAAAUGUGCCUCCUUUGUAAUCUGUGUGGCUACAGCAAUAUUUCUAUCCCACAUGCUUUUGCAGAACCUUGUCCCUCCCUUAUCAAGUAGUGGAGUUUUUGUCGCCUCCUCCCCUUAAACCUGGGUAGGCCUUUGUGACACCUAAACUUAUAGAGUAGAAUGGAGAAUAAUUCUAUGAUUCUGAAGUUAGGUCAUAAAGGAUGGAACAGCUUCCACCUGACUUUUUCUCUUAAAAUAAUCUCCCUUGAAACACAGCCACCAUGGUGGGAGGAAGACUAAGCCAUAAGGAGAGGCACACAAGGAGGGGAAUUGAGGUCCCAGCCACAACCAAGCUCCCUGCCAACAGCCAGCAUCAACUUUCUAGUCACACAAGUGAGCCAUCUUGGAAGCAAAUACUCCAGUCCUGAAUCAAGACACCUCAGCUAAUGGUGCGUGGAAGAGAUGUGCCUCUUCCACUGAUGCCAGUCCAAAUUGCAGAUUCAUGAACAACAAUGUUGACUAAAAUAGCUACAGAAGCUGACAUUCAGACAUCAUACAACAAAACGGGCAGCAACCUCGUGCAGCCUCCCCAGUGAAAGAGGACGGGAAGUCAUUGUGCCCACCAGGCCAAUAAGGUCAAAUUGUAUGUAGGAGGUGACUUCCAGCUAUGGACACAAAGAGAGAAGAAACAACCACAAAUUUGGUCUUUUCUACAACAAGAACCCGGUGCCACAGAAAAUAACAGAAGCGAGGAGAUGACUUUCCUGACAGACAUGUUCAAUUUUGGAUAUGCUAAGCAUGUUACAAUUUUAGGGAAAAUAACCGGCAAGCAGAGGGAAAAACAGAACUCAAGCUCAGGAAAUAGUCCCCUUGCUUGCAGAAUACCUGGACGUCGUAGGAACAUAAGCUGGCUGGCAGAAAGACAAGGCAGGCAGCUUUGAUUUAUCCCAGGAAGUUAGAAAACCUCUCUUCAAUGAAGGAGGUGAAAGCCAUAAUGAUUCUUCAUAAUGAACCCUGAUGACGAGGAGCAAGCAAUGAGCCACUUUUUAUGGCAGUUAAUGAUUCGAGCAGAAUGAAAGAAGAAGACUGCACUGGUCACUUGCUCCUCUGAUUCAAACAUAAAAACACAACACAGUGAAAAAGCAUAUUGUUUCCCUGAACUUCAGAGGAAAAACUGAAAACGUUUUUCAAAGUAAAUGAAUUAAUCUCCGUUCCAAACCCAG
ensembl:lncRNA